rnacentral:rRNA from 1 species
GAUGAACGCUGGCGGCGUGCCUAAUACAUGCAAGUCGAGCGCGAGCGUAAGGAGCUUGCUCCUUACAAUCGAGCGGCGGACGGGUGAGUAACACGUGGGCAACCUACCCUUUAGACUGGGAUAACUACCGGAAACGGUAGCUAAUACCGGAUAAGUUGGAUCACACAAGUAAUCUUAAUGAAAGGCGGAUUUAUCUGUCACUAAAGGAUGGGCCUGCGGUGCAUUAGCUAGUUGGUGAGGUAGUGGCUCACCAAGGCAACGAUGCAUAGCCGACCUGAGAGGGUGAUCGGCCACACUGGGACUGAGACACGGCCCAGACUCCUACGGGAGGCAGCAGUAGGGAAUCUUCCGCAAUGGACGCAAGUCUGACGGAGCAACGCCGCGUGAGUGAAGAAGGGUUUCGGCUCGUAAAACUCUGUUGUUAAGGAAGAACACUUUUGGUAGUAACUGGCCUAGAGAUGACGGUACUUAACCAGAAAGCCACGGCUAACUACGUGCCAGCAGCCGCGGUAA